rnacentral:rRNA from 1 species
UGGGGAAUUUUGGACAAUGGGCGCAAGCCUGAUCCAGCCAUUCCGCGUGAGUGAAGAAGGCCUUCGGGUUGUAAAGCUCUUUCAGCAGGAACGAAACGGGUCGCGCUAAUACCGCGAUCUAAUGACGGUACCUGAAGAAGAAGCACCGGCUAACUACGUGCCAGCAGCCGCGGUAAUACGUAGGGUGCGAGCGUUAAUCGGAAUUACUGGGCGUAGAGCGUGCGCAGGCGGUUUGUUAAGACAGGUGUGAAAUCCCCGGGCUUAACCUGGGAAUUGCGCUUGUAACUGGCAGGCUGGAGUGUGUCAGAGGGAGGUAGAAUUCCACGUGUAGCAGUGAAAUGCGUAGAGAUGUGGAGGAAUACCGAUGGCGAAGGCAGCCUCCUGGGAUAACACUGACGCUCAUGCACGAAAGCGUGGGGAGCAAACAGGAUUAGAUACCCUGGUAGUCCACGCCCUAAACGAUGUCAACUGGUUGUUGGGUG